rnacentral:rRNA from 1 species
CCACUGUUAUCGGAUUGAUACUAAGCCAUGCGAGUCAUUGUAGCAAUACAAGGCAUACGGCUCAGUAACGCGUAGUCAACCUAACCUAUGGACGGAAAUAACCUCGGGAAACUGAGAAUAAUGUCCGAUAGAACACUAUACCUGGAAUGGUUUGUGUUCCAAAUGAUUUAUCGCCGUAGGACGGGACUGCGGCCUAUCAGUUUGUUGGUGAGGUAAUGGCCCACCAAGACUAUUACAGGUACGGGCUCUGAGAGGAGUAGCCCGGAGAUGGGUACUGAGACACGGACCCAGGCCCUAUGGGGCGCGGCAGGCGAGAAAACUUUGCAAUGUGCGAAAGCACGACAAGGUUAAUCCGAGCGAUUUGUGCUAAACGAAUCUUUUGUUAGUCUUAGAACCACUAACGAAUAAGGGGUGGGCAAGUUCUGGUGUCAGCCGCCGCGGUAAAACCAGCACCUCAAGUGGUCAGGAUGAUUAUUGGGCCUAAAGCAUCCGUAGCUGGCUCUGUAAGUUUUCGGUUAAAUCUGUACGCUCAACGUACAGGCUGCCGGGAAUACUGCAGAGCUAGGGAGUGGGAGAGGUAGACGGUACUCGGAAGGAAGGGGUAAAAUCCUUUGAUCUUUUGAUGACCACCUGUGGCGAAGGCGGUCUACCAGAACACGUCCGA